UUCAUUUAUUAAAUUUCAAUCAAGAAAUCUCAUCUUUAAGCCACUAAACAAACACCAAUCAGUUGCAAGACCAGAUCGGUAAACAUCAAAGGAAAAACAAGGUGUCUGCUUCAUGUGCAUAGUUUCAAACCUAAAGGUCUGCUUCGUGUGCAG